GAUGAAACGUAGCGAAAUGCGAUAAGUAGUGUGAAUUGCAGAAUUCAGUGAAUCAUCGAAUCUUUGAACGCACAUUGCGCCCCUUGGUAUUCCAUGGGGCAUGCCUGUUCGAGCGUCAUUUGUACCUUCAAGCUCUGCUUGGUGUUGGGUGUUUGUCUCGCCUCUGCGUGUAGACUCGCCUCAAAACAAUUGGCAGCCGGCGUAUUGAUUUCGGAGCGCAGUACAUCUCGCGCUUUGCACUCAUAACGACGACGUCCAAAAGUACAUUUUUACACUCUUGACCUCGGAUCAGGUAGGGAUACCCGCUGAACUUAAGCAUAUCAAUAAGCGGAGGA
rnacentral:misc_RNA from 1 species